rnacentral:lncRNA from 1 species
AUUAAAUGAGAAGAAAUUUCAGGCUACAGUUAUCCACCUUCCUGAACUCAUGCAUUCUACCUCAUUCAAACUCUACAGUGUAGAUCUUAAAAACAGGAAAGAAAUUAGUUUUCUGGAAGUUGUGCCAGCCAUUUUUUCCAGCUAUUUAAAGGAGGUCCUUUGGAUUUACGUUUUGUACCCUCAGGGUGCUCAGUCACAUUGAACAAAGGUUGCUGUGAAUUUGAAGGAAUAUCAAGAUGAAGAAUUUCACCUCAUGUGACUGAGACACUUCCAGAGCCAUGAUGUUAGAAUUGGAGUCAAGCCUGUUCAGCAGAAGCAUUUUAAAAAUUACAUUUUAUGAUGGGCAGUGGACAUUAUGAGAGCUGGCAGAAAGACAGAGACAGACGUAGGAACAGCAGUAUCUGAGAAGAACUUUUGGCAAUGAGCCCAUACCCAGAGCCAGGCACUGGGGGAUGCUCCAGAAGGGAUGAUUACAUGGAAAAGCUGAGAAGCCAUGCAAAGGAAAGCACGGCAUGGAUAUCCAUGAAAAAGACUGGAGCAUUCUGUCCUGUUAUCUCAGGAUCAGGUGAUGGAAUUUAAGAAGAAUAGUAUAAAAUAAAGAACCUGAUGGGCCAGAGAUAUGUGUCUUGCCUAGAAAGGACAUCUACGGGGACGACUUUGAAAACAGGUAAUUUGCAGCCUUUCACUUAUUAUCUGUUAAUUGUAGUUUCAUAGUAGCAUUUAUUCAAG